rnacentral:rRNA from 1 species
UACGUAGGGGGCAAGCGUUGUCCGGAAUCAUUGGGCGUAAAGCGCGUGUAGGCGGCCCGAUAAGUCCGCUGUGAAAGUCCAGGGCUCAACCCUGGAAUGCCGGUGGAAACUGUCGAGCUAGAGUCCGGAAGAGGCGAGUGGAAUUCCUGGUGUAGCGGUGAAAUGCGCAGAUAUCAGGAGGAACACCUGCGGCGAAGGCGGGUAGCUGGGCCGACACUGACGCUGAGGCGCGAAAGCCAGGGGAGCGAACGGG